UGCCAGCAGCCGCGGUAAUACGGAGGGUCCGAGCGUUAUCCGGAAUUAUUGGGUUUAAAGGGUCCGUAGGCGGGCCGAUAAGUCAGGGGUGAAAGUCUGCCGCUCAACGGUAGAAUUGCCUUUGAUACUGUCGGUCUUGAGUUAUGGUGAAGUUGGCGGAAUAUGUAGUGUAGCGGUGAAAUGCAUAGAUAUUACAUAGAACACCGAUUGCGAAGGCAGCUGACUAACCAUCGACUGACGCUGAUGGACGAAAGCGUGGGGAGCGAACAGGAUUAGAUA
rnacentral:rRNA from 1 species